rnacentral:lncRNA from 1 species
AGGGCUUGUUCCUCUGAAGUUAGACCCUGGCCCAGCCACAUGUGACACUCAGUUGUGGUAGGAAGCUGGGAAGGAAAAAGCUAAUGACAUCUAGCAAAUGUUAGAUAUCUUCAGAUAAUGUUACUAGAGAUAGGAAAUGCCAUGUUUAUGUGGAAACUCAGUCUCUCUUCACUUAGCCUAGUCAUAGUUUGUGUGCUCUGCUCAGGAAAUCCUGUAAAAUGCAAAGGGUACAACAGGUUUGCUUGAGGGACUGAGCAUCAGGCUAAGCUCUUGGCUUCCUUCCUAGGAGGAUAAAGGGUAGGUCAAGCUUCACAAGGUUGGGGAAGACAAACUCAACACUGGGACAGGAGAAUCUCCAUCAUGCCCUGUUGAUGCUACUGUUGAAAUAGGUUUUUGUUUGCUUCUGAAAACCUUCACGCGCAGAAAGCCAAGGUAGUUGCUUUAAGUCAUGAUGAAUGUGAAUAAAGCGGACCACAUGAUGAUUUGAGGUUUCUUUUGGAGCAGGCAUUCUAUGGAAAUACAUUGCUUUUCAGUAGAAUUUGAUUGUCUUGUAUGUGUCAGUAUCUUUCAAUGAACAAAACAGAACAAUGAAACUGUUUGAUUUGGCAAUGUCACUUGUUCACCCGAGAAGUGAUUUUCUCAUGACCAGAUUGCCCUAGACAUCUUUCAUCUCUAGAAAAUAGAUUCCCCAUGGUGCUUCAGGGGCCCUGCUAUGUAUGAUUCAAGGAAAAUAUCAGUGUUACCAACAUUGAGGUUCUUAGAAUUCAUGCACAGCUGCCCAGUGGGCUCCAUG